rnacentral:pre_miRNA from 17 species
UAGUGCAUUGUGAAGCUGUUGUGUGCGUGAGCAGGCAUCUAUCCAGCCUACACGUAGGUGAUGAAAUCUGCAGGCUGGUUAGAUGGUUGUCCUGCACACAGCACGGGCCCACAUUGCUGUC